rnacentral:pre_miRNA from 1 species
UUUCUACUCCCUCCGUCCGAAAAUACUUGUCAUCAAAAUGGAUAAAAAGAGAUGUAUCUAAAAUUAAAAUACGUCUAGAUACAUUUCCUUUUAUCCAUUUUGAUGACAAGUAUUUCCGGACGGAGGGAGUAUUUG